AUUUUACUGAAAGACUUCCAUGAACUUACUUCCCUGACCAUCACCAAAACACUGUUGUGAGAAGAAAAGGAAGAGGUGUCCUCUGGAAUGAAACCCUUCCCCAGGAUGGUUUUUUCUUUCUGCCUGUAUGAUGUUGCCUCUAAUGGGAUGCAGCACAGCUGUUGAAUGAGUGCACGUGCUUUUUGGAAAAAUCCUGACAGUAGCUUUGGAUUUCACUGAACUGUUCCACAAGUGAAAAGUGGAUUACACUUUGCAGGAGCCUUAAUCCAGUGGAGAAUACAACAUGUGGCUAAAGAAGCUGGAAAUCCCUUGUGAGUAUCCUGUCAGAGUAGAUAUGGAAUAAGAUGGAAAGUGAAAGUUCACUGCAUCUAGCUUUGAACCAAAAUGUGUCGUAUCACUUUAAAUGAAUGGCUUUACUUGGGGUCCAUCAUGAGCAAAGCAAGUUGUCAUGGAAACCUUGAUGGCAUAAUUACUAUCGGGGCAGAGCAAUAGGGCCCCAGAGACUGUGUAAUCAGGUGGCCAUUUAUUCUGGAAGACUUGGUCCUCUGUCUAGUAAAGGAGUAUGGAAUUGGUUGAUUAAAGGAAAGCUGCUCUAGUAGGAUCCAAUAAUGAGAUAUAAACAUUUUUUCUUGUCUAUCAAAGACAAUUACUGCAUGGCACUUUGAUUUAUUCACUCGUAAAAAUAUUCUAAAGCUGUUUAGAGGAGCCCAAGUGUGGAAGCUAAAAAAGGUUUUGUUCCAGAAGAUAGUUUUGCUCCAAGUUCUCCUCCCUUCCACAUUGUCUACACUCUUGCUGUAAUUAUCACAAUCAUGUUCU